rnacentral:lncRNA from 1 species
GGCAAAUCCCUCUUACCGCUGUUUGCUGGGGGUCAGGGCAGGAAGGUUCCUGUCGGGCUGCUCAAUUCUGACCAGAUCUAAAGGUUGUCUUCUGGGAGGAGCCAAGAUGGCCUAAUAGGAAAAGCUCCGGUCUACAGCUCCCAGCGUGAGUGACGCAGAAGACGGGUGAUUUCUGCAUUUCCAUCUGAGGUACCGGGUUCAUCUCACUAGGCAGUG